rnacentral:rRNA from 1 species
GAUGAACGCUGGCGGCGUGCCUAAUACAUGCAAGUCGAACGCUUGAGAAUGUGCUUGCACAUUUAAAAGAGUGGCGAACGGGUGAGUAAGACAUAAGUAAUCUGGCCAUCAGACUGGGAUAACGUUUGGAAACGAACGCUAAUACCGGAUAGCUUAACUUCUGGCAUCAGAGGUUAACUAAAGGAGCCAUUAAAGCUGCACUGAUGGAUGAGCUUAUGGCGCAUUAGCUAGUAGGUGGGGUAAAAGCCUACCUAGGCGAUGAUGCGUAGCCGACCUGAGAGGGUGACCGGCCACAUUGGGACUGAGACACGGCCCAAACUCCUACGGGAGGCAGCAGUAGGGAAUUUUCGGCAAUGGAGGGAACUCUGACCGAGCAACGCCGCGUGAAGGAAGAAGGCUUUCGGGUCGUAAACUUCUGUUGUAUAUGAAGAACGGGCAGAAUAGGAAAUGAUUUUGUUUUGACGGUAAUAUACCAGAAAGCCACGGCUAACUACGUGCCAGCCGCCGCCGUAAAAC